rnacentral:rRNA from 1 species
AUUGAACGCUGGCGGCAGGCCUAACACAUGCAAGUCGAGCGGAGCGCGGGUCGGGGGCGGGAGUCCUAGGUCUGUGCCUGGGAGUGGGGGAUGAGGUCCGGAAACGGGCGCUGAUACCGCAUCCUCUCAGAAGAGCAUAGGUCGGAUUAGCUAGUAGGUGGGGUAAGGGCCUACCAAGGCGACGAUCCGUAACUGGUCGGAGAGGAUGAUCAGUCACACUGGAACUGAGACACGGUCCAGACUCCUACGGGAGGCAGCAGUGGGGAAUAUUGGACAAUGGGCGAAAGCCUGAUCCAGCCAUGCCGCGUGUGUGAAGAAGGUCUUCGGAUUGUAAAGUACUUUAAGCUGGGAGGCGUUACUAGCAGAAUAAGCACCGGCUAACUUCGUGCCAGCAGCCGCGGUAAUUC